CACACAUCGUCAGCAUUCACCACUCAGCCUAACGCUCGCUCUUCCUCUCUCUUCCUCUCUCUCUCUCUCUCUCUCUCUCCAUCAGUAUGAGGAGGCUGCCCCAGCAACUUCUCUGUCUCUGCCUGACCGGGGCAUUGCUGCUGCGUUUGUGCAAGGGCAACGAUGUUGAAUACGAUUAUGACUAUGACUAUAACACAACUGCAGCGCCAGACUACGACUACAAUGCUACCUUUGACUACAUGUAUUUCAGUAAUUCCAGCAGUAUGGAUUAUGGAGUAUUUGAAAUUAUAAGAUCCAGAGUAAAAGAUACACAGGAAGUUGAUAAAGGAAAUACGGCUCCAGAGACUGGCCUCCCAAACCUUCUGCUAAUUGUGACUUUGUCCAUACACCAGCUCUACCAACUGCACUGAAGGGGACUACGUACUGCUGCAUAUUGCACAAAGACAUUCGUGGCCCUGAGCAAUGCAGGAAGUAUGGAUGGUCGGAGGAGCCUGGAUGAGCCAUCUUUCAGAACAAAGGGACAUUUCAUGUGCAUAGGCAAACACUUCACAGCUGGGAAAUCAAUAGCACCAUCAACACACCCAAAAGUAUUCCAGGCCCCAUCCCGGGCCAGAGCUUCACAGCUUGUGACCCCUCAUACAUGACAAACAACUGUCUGCUUCACAGCAGGAACUCACACUGCAGUCAGAGAGGCUGUUUUCUGUCACAAUGUAGGGAAACAUCUUGAUUCGGUCUACAAAACCAUCUACUUAGGUUAAUUUAUUUAGUUGGUUAUACAAUUCAAGUAAGUGUCCAUGUGUCUUCUCUUCCUUUCCUGGUCAGAGGUCUUCCAGGCCACAUGUCUGUGGGCUCCAGACCUGAUGCACGCUGCUGUUUAUGGGGUGAAACACAGGCACAUCAAGGCAUGAUUCGCUGAUUUUCAGGAUCAUCUGUAUUAUCUUACCAGGGACUGCUCGCUUCUGGGAUGCACUCUCUCUCUAUGCUGCAUUUUUUUAUAUAUGUCUCACAAUGUAUUAACAAAACGUCAGGAAAGGAAACAUCACUAGAACAGGCGAUGGCACAGUUCCCUCACACUGUUUUUAUUAAAUCGCCUCAUUAACAAAUGUAUAUACAGUAAGUACAGUUCUUGAUUUGGCUUUGUACUCCACAAUUUUAGAUUUGUAAUGAAACAAUUCACAUGUGGAGUGAAGAUUCUCAGCUUUUAUUAAAGCGUAUUUCUAUACAUUUUAGUUUCACCAUGUAGAUAUUACAGCCCUUUUUAAAUAGUCCCCCCACUUCAGAGGACCAUAAUGUUUGGGACAAAUGGACAGUAGUCACUGACACAUCCAUGGCUGUCGCUUGUUUCUGAUCUGUCAGACAGGUGUUUGGGGUUUUUUUCUUCAUUAUGCUCAAAAUUCUUUUGCAAAAAACAGACCCCAAAGCUAAUCAGAAGACUAGAAUCAAGACUACAUAUUGAAAACAUUCUUAAACCUGCACAAAGGAAGCAAUUGCACACACCUAAAUAAUCAGAAACACCCGCAAAGCGGUUUUUCCCAAACAUUAUGGUUCUGAAAUGGGGGGAUGACUGCAUAUAGAAAGUGCAAUAAUUUCUAUAUGGUGAAACCAAAAUGUACAAUAUAAAAUGUGAGAAUCUGAACUUUCACCACAUGUGAAUAGAGCCAAAUCAGAAAAAAAUAUGUCCAAAACAUUACAAAGCUCACUGUAUCCAUGGUUCUUCACUUUGGGAGAGGAGAAUAUCAUUUAUAUGUGUUGUUUAUAUUCUUUAAUAAAUAUUUUUCAAUAAA